GAGGAGUUUGGUCUAUAAAUAUUAUUUAAAUGCAAGUUAGAAAACACAAAGGCAACAUGACUUUUUAUCAAAAUACUGUUCAUGAAUAAGUUUUUGAGUAAUUGAUGUGUGCUGAGUUUGAUGAAUUAAAGUCAUGAAAGAAGAAAUAUAGUUGUUAACCCACCAAUACCAUUAGCCGGGGUAUCUGUUGCAGCUUAUUAUAGAGUCAAACUCUCAGUGCCUUCACACUGCAGUAUUAUCCAGGGGGCCUGGGUAUACUUUUUCAGACUCAUAACCAACAGGGCUUACUUGGGUUACCCUUGUCCCACCAGUGACUGCAUAUGUGGGCUUAUGUGAGUUUAGGGAGCCAUGGAGAGUACGCCCAGGAACAGCUGACAAUUUAUGCUAGUGGGGCCCCCACAUUCUCAGAGAGAGAGAGAGAGAGAGAGAGGAGAGAGAGGGGGAGAAGGGGAGGGAGAAAGAGAGAGAGAGAGAGAGAGAGAGGAUGAAAAAAGAUGGCUGGAGACAGCAGACAGGAUUGGGAGAGCGAAAGAGAGAGAGAGAAAGAGAGAGAGAGAGGGGUGAAGAAAAAGAAAAAAAGGGGGGGAGACAGGGAAAGGGAGGCUGUCUUGUUUGUAGCUUGUCAGCAAUUGCUUGAGACAAGCUUCCCCUCCAUGUGUGAAAGCUACUUGGCAGGAAUGCUUGGACCGUACCAAGUGCAGCCAGGCAAGAGGGGGGUUCAGCAGGAGAAACAGACCCCGGAUUGAAGAGCCAGUGUGUGGCUGAAGUAAUCCUUCGGCGGUGUCGGCUCUUUGAUGUUGUAUCUUUGUGGAUGUGUGUGUGUGCGUGUGUAUGCGUGUGUGUGUGUGCGGGGAGAGGAGGGAGGGCGCUCUGUGAGUGUGUGUGUAUGUGUGUGUGGGUGUGAAUGGGGCUGGAGAGAGCGUUUCUGUAUGGAUAUGUACUCUCUCUCUCUCCUCUCUCUCCCUUCUCUCUCUCUCUCUCUCUCUCUAGCAGCAACAAAAGAGAGGGAAUGAGACACCCCCCGCCACCCCCCUACUCUCUCCCUUCCUCCUCCUACUCCUCCUCUCCCCAGCUCUCAAGAGAAAGAAAGCAAAAAAAAAAAAAAAAGAGGAAAAGAAGAUGAUGAAACCUGAAGUGGUCCUGCAGUGUGAAUUGUGUGUUUGCUCAUAUGUGUAUCUGAAUUUUUGUAUAUGUGUGUCUGUGUACGUGUGUCUCUGCACGCAUGCCAGUGUGAAUAGCUUCUUCAAUUUAAUCUGUUUACCAACAAUCGUGUGUGUAUCCUGUUUGGGCUAUGACUGUGUGUGCGUGCGUGCGUGUGUGUGUGUGUGUGGAGCCCAGUCUGUGGGUGGGUGUCUGCGUGCAUUCGAGUGUGGUCAUGUUAUGUGUUUUCUCCCCAGUAGAGGCUGUUAUUGUCCUAAGAAUGUGUGUGUUUCUGUGCAUGUGUAUAUAUGUGUGUGCGUGUGUGUGCGUGGGGUCAGUCUCCAGUAGCCUGUUGCUUUCUUGCUUCUGACUUCGCUCUUCAUCAGGAGGAAUGCAGACAGAGAUGGAUUCCUGCAGGAUUCCUCCUCUCUGGCUUCAUUAUUCCCUCUGCUGCCGCCACUGCUGCUGCUGCUGCUGAACAAACACACGCCAAACACACACAGACACACAGGCACACACACACAUUUCUGCUCAUUUGCCAACACAAACAGGAGUAUUGCACACCACCUGAAGUGACUGGCCUUAAUAAUGCAUCUCAGAUCUUUUCUUCACCCCAAAAAAGUGAACUUUCUUCUCUAAUAUCACUACACGACUCUUUCUCUUCUCUCCUCCCAGUUUUUACCUCCACUCUCAUCCUUUGUGUGUGUCUAAGUUUGAGAAUGUCCACUCAGCAGCAGCAGCAGCAGCCUUCAUAUUACACAGGAAAGUGAAAGCUCCCCUCAUCAUCUGUUUCCAGGGCUUGUUGUAAAAAAAAAGGAGGCCAAGAAAUGGGAUGCAAUUUGAAAUGAAUUAGGCCGUGAAAAAAUGUUCAGGAUGUCAACAUGUAUCGGGGUGAAGGCGUUUAUGUAAUUGGAACGCUUGGUGUGCUGGUAUACAGCUUAAGAGAGGAAGUUCUGUCCUAAGGCUGGAGCUCAAUACACAUAUACACACACAUAUAAUAAAUACACACACACACAAACACAGACUAAGAUGUUUAAUUUGUGCAUGCAUGCGUCGGUGCACCUACGCGUACACCUGAGUGAUGCAGAUGAUGUUCUAGACUGAGCUGACCUCAUUUACAUGUCCUCUCGAGGAGGUGCGAUGAAAAAAAAGUGAGGGGACAAGGCAACGAAGGAGACAGGAGAGGAGGAGAAGGAGAGUAGGAAAGAGGUGCAGAAAAGGAGGGCAGAGGAGGGAAAGGGGACGAGGGGGCAAAGGAGAGGUAAGCAAAGAGAGGGAAUGGAAAGAGGAAAUGACAGAAGCGGUGAGGUGAAGAGGAAAGGUAAGGCGAGAAGAGAUGAGGGAAAAAAAGAGGAGGACAGGAAACAGGGGAAGCAGUGCAAGGAGAGAUGAUGAGAGAAUGAAGUAGGAGAUAAAAUGAGAGGUGUGGAGAGAACAUGACAGAAAGAGGAGAGGGAAAAGAGAGAGGACAGAAGAGAAGAGGUAAAGAGAAGGAAAGGAGAGGAGAAUGAAAAGAGAAACUAAGAGAGGAAGAGUUGUGCAAUGUGACAUGAAAUGGAAGGGAUGAAAGACAAAGAUGUAAAGACAAAUGAGAGAAGAUGACAAAAAGAAGGGGGAGAGGAGAGGAUGAAAAGAAGAGGAGGAGGAAGAAAAAAGGGGAGGGAAAGACCAAAUGAAGAGGGAGGGAAGGAGGAGGAAAUAAGGCAGGGAAAGAGGAAGUGAGGGGAGGAGAAAAAAGAUGGGGCGUAAAAGGGAAGAUGAAAGAGAGGGAAAGUUGAAAGGUAAAAGGGGGGAGGAGAAACGAAUGGAGACUGUGGCGAGGGAAGGAAGGAAGGCAGGGAUGGAGAGAGGAAGGGAGGGAGGGAGGCGGAGAAGGGAGGGAGGGAGGAGGGUUGAUCUCUGGGGUUUGAAGCACAUUAGUAUUCAUGGGGAAGAGGAGGCCACAGACAGCAGAGAAACAGAGGGACCAGACUGAGAGCAGCAUACCACACACACUCACAAACACUGCAUGGCUGCAAACGCACACACACACUCACAUACACACAAUCACACUAUACAUGUAAUAUGUGGAUUUAGAUGCUGCUGAGGGUUGAAGCACUCUUUGUGUGCUCCAUCUUGUCUUAUAUCUGCAGGUUUACACACAUUAACGCGCACACAGGCCCUCAAAAUUCCUCCCUGGGGAUGCUUUAGCGGUUGAGGCCUCUGAAACCACACGCACCCCUGCCGGCCUCGGAUCGAAUCCCACCGUCAGAAGCGUCUCUCCUGUGUUUUCACCACUUCGCAUCCCCUCUUCCUGCCUACUGCUCUGUCAAUAAAAGCAAAGAACAAGCCGGGGAUCUGUAGAUGUUGAUUUUCCUUUUUACCUCAUCGGCUAACCGUGAGUGUACCUACAGAAGAGGAGAGGAGAGAGGAGAGAAGAGUGCAGGUGACUCAUUUCACUGUGGGAGAGAUAGGCUGGGCUGGGCCAAGCUAUGGGGGGAAAAGGGGUGGAAGACAAACAAAAAAAAGGAGAAGAAGAUUGCAUGUAUCGUGUUGGAGGCCUCUUGCGAAAAACACAGUGGCAGGAGGAGAGCAAAAAGAGAGAGAGAGGGAAGAGGAGGUGGAGGGAGAAACAGCAACACUCUCCGGGUGUUCUAUUCUUAGUCUCUGCUCCUCAGACUUUGUGUGUGCGUGUGUGUGUGUUAGUGUGUGUGUGCGUGUGUGGGCAGGCAGGUGGUGUACAGCUGACAGUUGAUUUGCUGUGACACCAGACACACUGGCUGCCUUGGACUCCCGUGGCCUAGAUAUCAGAGUCUCCUGGAAGCCCCUUCACGCACACACACAUUAAAUCAAACACACACACUCAUCUGUGUCCCUUUUUUCUUUUUUUCUUCUUUUUGCCCCCCCCCCCCCUCCUCUCCUU